GCCCCAGCAAACUACCUUCUGCACUGAUGGAGGCCGUGAGAAGUAACCACCGACAGCAAGUUUACUGCAUCUGAGGUGAAAUGAGGUCAGCUUUUGCAGAGAAACUAGGCUGUCACAGCCAAGGACCUGACCAUUAUCUUUUUAUUUCACAUUUUUACAUCUCCCAGACUGUAGCUCACAGGCAAGCUGAACCAAUACAUCAGAACGAGACAGAACGCGUGUGCCUAUGGAUGUAUUGGAAAACAGAAGAGAGGGGCUUUUACCUAUUCCCACCUUUUCAGAGCUGUAACUUUAAGACACAUCAACCCUGUGGUGGUUUACAAAACAUGGAAGAGAAGGCAAACUUAAAACCUGCCCUUCCAGCAGACCUGAAGACUGAACCAUGGACUGAAGCAUGGACAAUGCUUUAUUCCACCAAGGCAUUUAUGCCUUGGUUUCCAUCACCCCAGAAAAACUUCCAAUGCCAAAUUGAGAGGACACUCCAAAUCCUUCACUCUGAAUUUAUGCUUCUGACCAGAAGAAGAGUGAAGUUUCACUGGUUCACCCAGACUACAGUGUUGUCCAGCCACUCUUUUGGAAGGUGA
rnacentral:lncRNA from 1 species